CCACUGACACCACGCUUCCAGGAAAAGCCACUAAGCUUCAGCUUAAGAAAAACCGUACCGCAAACCGACACAGGUAGGCAGGGUGAGAAUCCCAAGGCGCUUGAGAGAACUCGGGUGAAGGAACUAGGCAAAAUGGCACCGUAACUUCGGGAGAAAGUGCGCCCUUUGGUGUGGUCACGUGCGUGACUGAGCAUUGAAGGGUCGCAGUAACCUGGCCGCUGCGACUGUUUAUCAAAAACACAGCACUCUGCAAACACGAAAGUGGACGUAUAGGGUGUGACGCCUGCCCGGUGCUGGAAGGUUAAUUGAUGGGGUCAGCCGCAAGGCGAAGCUCUUGAUCGAAGCCCCAGUAAACGGCGGCCGUAACGAUAACGGUCCUAAGGUAGCGAAAUUCCUUGUCGGGUAAGUUCCGACCUGCACGAAUGGCGUAACGACAGCGGCGCUGUCUCCACCCGAGACUCAGUGAAAUUGAAAUCGCUGUGAAGAUGCAGCGUUCCCGCGGCAAGACGGAAAGACCCCGUGAACCUUUACUAUAGCUUUACACUGAACGUUGAGUUCUUCUGUGUAGGAUAGGUGGGAGGCUAUGAAACCAGGACGCUAGUUCUGGUGGAGCCAUCCUUGAAAUACCACCCUGAAGUGCUUGACGUUCUAACCUAGGCCCGUAAUCCGGGUCAGGGACCGUGUAUGGUGGGUAGUUUGACUGGGGCGGUCUCCUCCCAAAGAGUAACGGAGGAGCACGAAGGUACGCUCAGCGCGGUCGGACAUCGCGCACUGUGUGCAAAGGCAUAAGCGUGCUUGACUGCGAGAUCGACGGAUCAAGCAGGUACGAAAGUAGGUCUUAGUGAUCCGGUGGUUCUGUAUGGAAGGGCCAUCGCUCAACGGAUAAAAGGUACUCCGGGGAUAACAGGCUGAUACCGCCCAAGAGUUCAUAUCGACGGCGGUGUUUGGCACCUCGAUGUCGGCUCAUCACAUCCUGGGGCUGUAGCCGGUCCCAAGGGUAUGGCUGUUCGCCAUUUAAAGUGGUACGCGAGCUGGGUUCAGAACGUCGUGAGACAGUUCGGUCCCUAUCUGUCGUGGGCGUUGGAGAUUUGAGGGGGGCUGCUCCUAGUACGAGAGGACCGGAGUGGACGUUCCGCUGGUGUUCGGGUUGUCAUGCCCAUGGCAUUGCCCGGUAGCUACGAACGGAAGUGAUAACCGCUGAAAGCAUCUAAGCGGGAAGCACGCCCCAAGAUGAGAUCUCCCGAGAGCUUGACUCUCCUAAAGGCACCAUCAAGACUAGGUGGUUGAUAGGUCAGGUGUGGAAGCGCAGCAAUGCGUUGAGCUAACUGAUACUAAUGAGCCGUGAGGCUUGACCAA
rnacentral:rRNA from 1 species